AACGAACGCUGGCGGCAGGCCUAACACAUGCAAGUCGAGCGAGGUAGCAAUACCUAGCGGCGGACGGGUGAGUAACGCGUGGGAACGUGCCCUUUUCUACGGAAUAGCCUCGGGAAACUGGGAGUAAUACCGUAUGUGCUCUUCGGAGGAAAGAUUUAUCGGCAAAGGAUCGGCCCGCGUUGGAUUAGGUAGUUGGUGAGGUAACGGCUCACCAAGCCGACGAUCCAUAGCUGGUUUGAGAGGAUGAUCAGCCACACUGGGACUGAGACACGGCCCAGACUCCUACGGGAGGCAGCAGUGGGGAAUCUUAGACAAUGGGCGCAAGCCUGAUCUAGCCAUGCCGCGUGAGCGAUGAAGGCCUUAGGGUUGUAAAGCUCUUUCAGUGGGGAAGAUAAUGACUGUACCCACAGAAGAAGCCCCGGCUAACUCCGUGCCAGCCGCCGCAGUAA
rnacentral:rRNA from 1 species